rnacentral:lncRNA from 1 species
AUUGUUGAAGUGAUGGAGGGUUAGACAGUUCCCUCCUCACUUCCCUGGCCUACUGGGCAGAAACAAGUCUCUCUAAAAUCUCGAAGAGCCGAUCGACAUCCUCUCGAGACAACCCGUUUCGAGUUGCCCUACUCAGUAAGGGACCUCAUCUCCUCGUGUCUCUGUACUUAUUUUUCACAAGAAAGGGUUGAAUGAUAGUUUGUGUUUGGUGUUUUUAAGUCUUUGUAUAAGGAAUAGUUU